UACGAAGGGGGCUAGCGUUGUUCGGAAUCACUGGGCGUAAAGCGCACGUAGGCGGAUCUUUAAGUCAGGGGUGAAAUCCCGAGGCUCAACCUCGGAACUGCCUUUGAUACUGGGGAUCUCGAGUCCGGGAGAGGUGAGUGGAACUGCGAGUGUAGAGGUGAAAUUCGUAGAUAUUCGCAAGAACACCGGUGGCGAAGGCGGCAUCCUGGACCGAGAUUGACGCUGAGGCGCGAAAGCCAGGGGAGCAAACGGG
rnacentral:rRNA from 1 species